UACGGAGGGGGGCAAGCGUUGUUCGGAAUUACUGGGGCGUAAAGGGCGCGCAGGCGGCUGCUCAAGUCAGGCGUGAAAGGCCUGGGCUCAACCCGGGGAAAUUGCGCUUGAGACUGGGCUGGCUUGAGUGCGGGAGAGGAUGGUGGAAUUCCCAGUGUAGAGGUGAAAUUCGUAGAUAUUGGGAAGAACACCGGUGGCGAAGGCGGCCAUCUGGACCGCAACUGACGCUGAGGCGCGAAAAGCGUGGGGAGCAAACAGG
rnacentral:rRNA from 1 species